UAACGGGAGGGGAAGUACGCCCGGACCGAAAGGCGGAUUAAUACCGCAUAUGCCGAUGAUCGGGCAUCCGAUAGUCGGGAAAGGAGCAAUCCGGUACGAGAUGACCAUGCGGCUGAUUAGCUAGUUGGCGGGGUAGAAGCCCACCAAGGCGACGAUCAGUAGGGGACCUGAGAGGGCGAUCCCCCAUACGGGCACUGAGAUACGGGUCCG
rnacentral:rRNA from 1 species